UACGUAGGGGGGCUAGCGUUGUCCGGAAUCAUUGGGCGUAAAGAGCGUGUAGGCGGCCAGAUAGGUCUGCUGUGAAAACUCGAGGCUCAACCUCGAGAUGUCGGCGGAAACCAUUUGGCUAGAGUCCGGAAGAGGAAAGUGGAAUUCCUGGUGUAGCGGUGAAAUGCGCAGAUAUCAGGAGGAACACCGGUGGCGAAGGCGGGUCUCUGGGCCGAUACUGACGCUGAGGAGCGAAAGCGUGGGGAGCGAACAGG
rnacentral:rRNA from 1 species